GGAGAUCCAUCCAUUAGUGGCAAAAGAGAUGAACAGAAUGUCUGCUUUCACGUAGGUGGUGUCGAAAUCUGUGGAGAUCCAUCCAUUAGUGGCAAAAGAGAUGAACAGAAUGUCUGCUUUCACGUAGGUGGUGUCGAAAUCUGUGGAGAUCCAUCCAUUAGUGGCAAAAGAGACGCAAUGGACAAAAGAAUACUUCCUUGUUAUUACAUCGAUGGUGUUAGAACCUGCAUAGGAAUCAAAAGAGAGGAAGACCUUACCCUAGCAGAGAUUGUGGCCAACAUCGGAAAAGUUGUCCAUGUCAUUGAUCAAUUUGUUGGUGGAGCCGCUACAAAGAGAGAGGAACAAGAUAUUGGUGGUUGCUUUAAUAUUGGUUGUCAGAGAUUUUGCACAGAAUCUGGCUCACUGACUACUAUUUGUUAAAGAGAGCAACAGGACAAUUUACCACAUUAAAAAUUGAGUAGAUUUAUUUCAUUAAACAAUAAAACUUACAUUGUUUUUUU
rnacentral:sRNA from 1 species